GCCAGCUCGAAAGCCGCGAAGCUCGACACGAACAGGACGCAGUAUGCGAUUCUUACUCUCGAGCGGGAUAAGGUCUGAGUAUAUUCCCCCCUUCCAUCGACUCUAGCUGAGUCCAGCCACAAUGGCUGAGCGAUGUACCAGAAACACAGGCGCCCUUACAUAACCCCACGACCCCUUCUGAUAAGCAGGGAGGGGGCGGAAGGAUUGGCUUUGAAAAGCAUCGCGGGGAUCGGAUGCAUGGAAGAUGUCUGUGACUCGCCUCAACCACACACCGGUCGAACACGGAGAAGCUUGGAGUAGAACUAUGCGUUCUACUCUCUGGCUCCCAUGCAUUUGCGCCGACACCCUGGGCGGGACGCCAGCGGUGUGCUUUCACAUCGCUGGUGUCAUGGGCUCUGCCCCGUCGCCUCUUGAUCACUGGGACUAGCCGGCGCCUAGGGCAAGAGGUGAUGUAUCCGCCUGUCGCUAUCUGCCCGAUGCGACAGCGAGUCGUUGAGAGUACCACGGAGUGGACCCUUCGAUGUUGCCAGGGUUGUAGAGCAUCGGCGCUGCCUGGCUCUAGUGUGUACGGAGAGGCUUUGGUGAUGUCACACAUCUCUUUGCGUCCUUCAGCGCACUUCGUGGCUCACAUCUCUCUGGGAGUGUGAAACUCGACUCAGACUACUCUCGAGCUGGU
rnacentral:RNase_P_RNA from 2 species